ensembl:misc_RNA Metazoa_SRP Metazoan signal recognition particle RNA
GCUGGGCAUGGUGGCGCGUGCCUGUAAUCCCAGCUACUCGGGAGGCUGAGGCGGGAGAAUUGCUUGAACCCAGGAGGCGGAGGUUGCGGUGAGCCGAGAUCACGCCAUUGCACUCCAGCCUGGGUAACAACAGCAAAACUCCGUCUCAA